GCCCCUAUAGCUCAGUUGGUAGAGCUACGGACUUUUAAUCCGCAGGUCCUAGGUUCGAGUCCUAGUGGGGGCACCA
rnacentral:tRNA from 99 species